AUGGCCGUCAACCCCAUCCCUCCGCUCAACAAUAGUUUCUUGGCCAUUGCGGAGGCGAGCAGAUUCGUGCCAUUACAUCCCCGGGAGGGGCUCCGCGACACCAUUGAGGGUCUUCUGCAUGAAGCGGGUCUGCACACCAUAGAAGCUUCUGACCAUCCCCUGGGUAUCGGUAUGUCUGCAUUUGCCAACUCCUUCAUCAGAGAUACUGCUGUAAAUAGUACCUUCCAGCUUGAUGAUGAGUAUCUGGUAGUUUCCUUUGUGCGCCACAAUGCGGCUUUGAACAUGCGUAACACCACCUAUGGGCCAGAGGUUUGGUUAAUGUACAUCGGAUUUCCUGAUGACUACCAGACGGACUUUUAUCUGCAACGUUCUGUCGAUGACUAUGGCCAUCUUGUCUCUUGGAACAACCCCAAUAUCGACCGUCGUGUUGUGCUGAUCAAAGUCAGGGUUAUUCACAUGCGUGUGAUCCCUAAGAGCAUCAUCGUCCCUCAGUUGGGAGGGGACCGUGCAUGCUGGACUCCUGCAGUUUUCAUUCUUCGGGGAGCAGACUGGAACGCCCAUGAUCCUGAAGUACCUACUGCAGAUGAAGAACCACCGCCCGCUAGUGGUGUGCCUCACCCCAUGUUUGGGGACGGCCUUACUGCUGAGCAGCUCUACCAGCAGCAACUACAGAACUGGCUGAUUCAGAAUGGUGUUGCUAAUGAAAAUGGACCUCACAAUGCUGCCCAUCAAGAUGCUCCUCAACACGCUCAGUGGGAUGCUUGGCCUGAACCUCCUGUGCCUCAAAUGCCUGCAGCCCUAGUCAACUUUCAGGCUUGGUUAGCGGCUCAGGGUCUGCAUGUUCAAGAUGACAUUCUACCUAAAGACAACAUUUCAGACAGUCUUAACUCUGCUUGCUCUUGUAGCUCUACUGGCAGCAAUACUGGGUCAGUCCAAUCUGCUGAUGGCCCUGACAAUACUCUGCUGGUGAUUCCUACUAGGCAUGACGUAAUUGCUAUUGACAUUGUUGUUUCUGCUGAUAAUCUUCGUGUUAGCAUCUCUGUGGAAGGUAGUGAUCUGACCAAUGUGCUCAUGAAUGACAUAAUUCCCCGCAACACAUUUACGGCAUAUCUCUCUAGUUCUAUUUUGUCUGUCGUCGCAGCCUAUGGCCCCUGGAGCUCUGGGUAUGGAUUGCCCCUGCUUGCUCUGCAAACUACUGUCCCUGUCACUGAAUUCCAAGUGGGAACUGCUGAUGCUCUGAUUUCAAUUUGUCUCUCUCCACGUAUUCUGAACAUGCCCCCAUGGCCAUCUUCAGUGCAGAUCUCAGAGCUUUUGUCUGAUGAAGAAGCCCCUACUGAAGAAGUUGUUUUGCACCCACCUCUUACUGUGUCUCUGUCUGCUGUGGAGGAACAUAUUGAGCACCCUCCUGAAGAUCUUCCUCACUCUAUUAUGCCUACCUUGACUGACCAACUGGUUACUAAUGCCGAGGUUGCUGCUGGAACUGCUGACGCUCUUGUGCAGCAGGAGGAGGAGGAUGCUUUGGCGCCAACUGAAAGUUCAACUUCUAGGCCUCUUGCUCUGUCUCAACCUUUUGAGGCAUCUUAUUUGGGCUUGGCCCAAGUGCUACCAGAUCCUGGCCCAUUUCCUGCUCGCGCCCGUCGCUCCAAGUUUCAGGUUCCAUUGGUCACUACUGAAGUUAGGCGCAGUACUCGCUCCACUAGAUAUGAUGGCUUCAGAGUGCCAUAG
rnacentral:rRNA from 1 species